CCUACGGGAGGCAGCAGUGGGGAAUAUUGCACAAUGGGGGAAACCCUGAUGCAGCGACGCCGCGUGAGUGAAGAAGUACUUCGUUAUGUAAAGCUCUGUCAUCAGGGAAGAAAAUGAGUGUGACUAAGUAUUAAGCCCCGGCUAACUACGUGCCAGCAGCCGCGGUAAAACGUAGGGGGCACGCGUUAUCCGGAUUUACUGGGUGUAAAGGUAGCGUAGGCGGCUGUGCAAGUCUGGAGUGAAAGGCGGGGGCUCAACCCGCGGACUGCAUUGGAAACUGUACGGCUGGAGUGCAGGAGAGGAAAGUGGAAUUCCAAGUGUAGCGGUGAAAUGCGUAGAUAUUAGGAGGAACACCAGUGGCGAAGGCGGCUUACUGGACUGUAACUGACGCUGAGGUUCGAAAGCGUGGGGAGCAAACAGGAUUAGAUACCCGUGUAGUC
rnacentral:rRNA from 1 species